rnacentral:rRNA from 1 species
GACGAACGCUGGCGGCGUGCCUAAUACAUGCAAGUAGAACGCUGAAGGAGGAGCUUGCUUCUCUGGAUGAGUUGCGAACGGGUGAGUAACGCGUGGGUAACCUGCCUGGUAGCGGGGGAUAACUAUUGGAAACGAUAGCUAAUACCGCAUAAGAGUAGAUGUCGCAUGACAUUUGCUUAAAAGGUGCAAUUGCAUCACUACCAGAUGGACCUGCGUUGUAUUAGCUAGUUGGUGAGGUAACGGCUCACCAAGGCAACGAUACAUAGCCGACCUGAGAGGGUGAUCGGCCACACUGGGACUGAGACACGGCCCAGACUCCUACGGGAGGCAGCAGUAGGGAAUCUUCGGCAAUAGACGGAAGUCUGACCGAGCAACGCCGCGUGAGUGAAGAAGGUUUUCGGAUCGUAAAGCUCUGUUGUAAGAGAAGAACGAGUGUGAGAGUGGAAAGUUCACACUGUGACGGUAUCUUACCAGAAAGGGACGGCUAACUACGUG